rnacentral:rRNA from 1 species
GAUGAACGCUAGCGAUAGGCCUAACACAUGCAAGUCGAGGGGCAUCACAUGAAGUAGCAAUACGGAUGGUGGCGACCGGCGCACGGGUGAGUAACACGUAUGCAACCUGCCUUCAACAAGGGGAUAACCCGUUGAAAGACGGACUAAUACCCUAUAACACAGGGGUCCCGCAUGGGAAUAUUUGUUAAAGGACAACCGGUUGAAGAUGGGCAUGCGUUCCAUUAGCUAGUUGGCGGGUAACGGCCCACCAAGGCAACGAUGGAUAGGGGAACUGAGAGGUUUAUCCCCCACACUGGUACUGAGACACGGACCAGACUCCUACGGGAGGCAGCAGUGAGGAAUAUUGGUCAAUGGACGCAAGUCUGAACCAGCCACGUCGCGUGAAGGAAGACGGCCCUACGGGUUGUAAACUUCUUUUAUACGGGAAUAAAGUGCCCCACGUGUGGGGUUUUGCAAGUACCGUAUGAAUAAGGAUCGGCUAACUCCGUG